UUGAAACUUUUUUGUGCAUUCCCCGAAACAAAUGACACUAUUCUGAAUAUUUUCCUUUCUGGGGCAGUAAAUAAAGUCUUUUAUGUUGACAAUGCUAAUAUUAUAUUUUAAAAUACAUUUGCAUUUGUGUUUUUUGUCAUUUUUUAUUGCAUUGUAUAAAUCCCGGAGCAGAGAUCCACCGGGCUCAUUGUGAGAAAGCCCUGUUUCUUGGGAUAGCAUCAUGCAAUGAUACAGGCUUUCCUAUUUAUGAAGCUACUUUAUGAAACCCAAAGGCCAAAUCUAUUACUUUUUCCAGACAAAUCUUUGGUACAAACAAUGUCAUAACAGUUCAAUCUGGUGUGAUGGUCCACUGAAAAUUAGCCUGAAAAUCUAAGGAAUAGUCUAAUACUUCAGAACUUUUACAAGAAUACCUCUACGAAUUCAAGUUACUUCCUUCUGUAAAUGCAGGCAAGUGCUCUGGCCUGCUUUUCUGUUGGUAUUUCUCCAUGUUCUUUUCACCUCCUCCCUCCUAAGGUGGCUUUUUUACACAGUCUUUUUCUAGUUUUCACAAGCUUCCAAAAUUGCAGGAAGCAAUCUGUGAGAAGAUGAACAGUACACAGUAAAACCCAAACAAGCUUCUAUCCUAUUUCACAGAGCACUACAUCUAGUACAUUUUUAGCUUCCAAAAUUUAAGAUGACCCUGUAGCAUAACAAGAGAAUCUUUUCAAAUAGAAAUGCUCUAUUUUGCUCGAUUCAAAACAUACAUAUUAUGUCGUUUAAAAAGGCUGAAAGGUAUGAAUUUUAUAGUUAUCAGUAUUAUAGUAAUAUUUCCUUAAUAGCAGAUUAAUUUUAAAUGUCCUUACCAUUAACAUACUGGUGUUUUCCAUUAUUUGUCUUUGCUUGCAACCUUUCUUUGUCCUUCCAGCAGAGAAUGUUAGUGCUUAUUUACACAAAAUAAAGACAGCUUCACUUUUAAAGUUCAAUAUUUUGGGCAAGCAGUAACGUACCAGGCCGCUAUCCAGUCUUAGCAGGAAAUAGUCCUAGUGCUGAUCACAAGGAGAUGACUUGUGCUAUCAGCUCAUUUUGAGAAGUUUAGCAAACAUGUUAUCUGUAGCAACAGUUCUGAUGUAAUGUUUAUAAGUUCAAAAUGUCCUGUUUGGCCAUUGCUGCUGAUAUGCUUGUUACCAAAACAACCUAAAAGUCUGUUCUUCACCAUGCCCUUCAGGUCACCUACAGAUGAUGUUUCAUCAUGAACCAAUCUCUGAAAUGUCUCUACGAAGUUAUGCACAAUGCAAUUGAAGAGGCGUGUAAUGUCAGGCAAGAAAGAAGCUGAAGAGCUACACUGCCUUGAGGAAGAAAGCCUAUCUACUGUGAAUUACAGAAAGGAAAGAAGAUAUUCUCAGUUAAGUUCUCUCCACAUGAAAAAGUUUCAUUUGUCAGAAAUGACAGUGUCAGUAAAUAGGAUUCAACUCCACAUUUUUUGUGUCAACAGUCCUGCUUCUCAAAUCAUUUCUAAGCACAUUAUUUCAUUCCUGAAGAAAAAGCUUUUUCUUUCUU